UUCUCCCACGAAACGAUAGCUUAAACUGUGCCCUAAAUGGAAGUGUACUCAAAUUCUAUUUUAUGGACUCACCAUGUUCUAAAAUAAGUCGAAAGGUAAGCUACAAUAUAUCGGCAUGAACUUUCGGGACAACCCACUAUAUACACACACACAUAUAGGUAUGUUUCUAUGUGCUUAGACAUACAUA